UAAUUUGAAACCCAAUAACCGAACCGAAUAACCCGAGUACCGAUUGACCCGAACCGAAAUUAAUUUCAGUUUAAUUCGGAGAAAUUUUUCUAAAACCGAAUUUUCCCUAAACCGAAUAACCCGACCCGAAUAACCCGAUCUGACCGAACUCCCAGGCAUACUUGCAGUAAUCAAAACACAAUUAUCUAACUUAAAUUCUUGACAGCUGAUAAGUGUGUUUUUUGCAUGUUUUGAGCAUCCAUUUGUCAUCACUUUAGCAUCAUAUCAUCACUGUUUUAUACCAUUUCUCAUCAUUUGUCAUCACUUUACAUGUUUAGGAUAGAUUUGCAUGCAUGUUGCAUAUUUGCGUUGAUUUCAGGUGAUUUGGAGAUGUUGACGAGCUAUCUGGAAGAAGCGGACCUGGUCAUGUCAAACCACUCGACCCCGAGGUCGAGUAGUAGCUUCAAGAUCUCAACAGAUCACUCGACCCCCAGGUCGAGUAGAGGACAUCACUACUUCACCACAUCACUCGACCCCGAGGUCGAGUGUCUUCAUCCCAUCACCUGACCAUCACUCGAUCACAUCAUUCGACCACAAGGUCGAGUGUCUUCACCUUCAUUGCCAGACCACUACUCGAUCUCAUUACUCUACCUGGAAGUCGAGUAUCACCAUCACCACCACUCGACUGCAUAUUCGAUGACAAGCUUCAGAGCCUUCUUCAAUCCGCACUCAACCAGACACUCGAGCACAAGGAAGAAAAGAAGACUCCAGCUAUUCACUCGACCUCCUACUCGACCACAUGGGUCGAGUACAGUUCUUAAUCCGUCCCAAUACUUCGUAGUUUUAAGUAUUAGGGUUUCGGAAUAUUUGGCUAUAAGUAGCAUGUACUUCACAUUUUCGCAGACAAGUUUUUUAUCUAGUUUUAUUCCGCAGACCUUGUGUUCUAGACCUUUUGAAAUCCGGAUUUCUCUUUAUCUAUUCAAUAUUCAGUAUUCAGCUUUUGAUCUUGAUUUCAUUUACUGUUGUUCAUUUUGUUAUCAUCCUGCUGUUACACUGUUGUUAUCAUGUUUUCAACUUAUUCAACGUUUAUGCUUUCUGUUAUGAUGUCUGAGUAGUGAAUAGGUUUCGGAGGAUGGGUUAGAGUAGUGUAGAAUUCUCAGUAUGCUAGGUGAUUGAGUAUUGAUUGAUAGAUCCCUACUGGAUUAGUUGUUCUUAAUGCCUAUUGCUUUCUGAUCAACUGGAAUUUGAGCCCAUACAUUUCCGCGCCCGAAAGGUGUUCGAUAAAAUGUCUGAACCACUAAUUCCAGAGAUUCGUGACCCUGUACCAAGGUAUUCGUGAUUCGUAAUGCCUCUUAGGUUAGCUCUUGUCAAUAGUGAUUGAGUCUGGGACUAGGUUAACUUGUGAGUCUCUGUUGCAGUGGCACUUAGAUUUGGUUAAUGAACUUGUUGUCUAGGGUUAAAUUUCAUUUACUGUUGUUCAUUUUGUUAUCAUCCUGCUGUUACACUGUUGUUAUCAUGUUUUCAACUUGUUCAACGUUUAUGCUUUCUAUUAUGAUGUCUGAGUAGUGAAUAGGUUUCGGAGGAUGGGUUAGAGUAGUGUAGAAUUCUCAGUAUGCUAGGUGAUUGAGUAUUGAUUGAUAGAUCCCUACUGGAUUAGUUGUUCUUAAUGCCUAUUGCUUUCUGAUCAACUGGAAUUUGAGCCCAUACAUUUCCGCGCCCGAAAGGUGUUCGAUAAAAUGUCUGAACCACUAAUUCCAGAGAUUCGUGACCCUGUACCAAGGUAUUCGUGAUUCGUAAUGCCUCUUAGGUUAGCUCUUGUCAAUAGUGAUUGAGUCUGGGACUAGGUUAACUUGAGAGUCUCUGUUGCAGUGGCACUUAGAUUUGGUUAAUGAACUUGUUGUCUAGGGUUAAUUUAUUGAGCAUGUCAAUCACCUGUAAACUUAGGAAACGAAACUACUCAAUUACCCCAUCCUCGGAAAUUCAUUAUCUAAUUGAAUUCUUUGUUUACUCUACUGUUGUUUACUGCAUCUUGUUAUCUGUCGCUUAGUUUCUGCAAUUCUUUCUUGUUACUCGACCUCAUACUCGACCACCCAGUUGUCUGGCAACAGACUGUGCAGUCUAGUAUCUGUGUUUUAUUUUCUGUCUGUUACUCGACCUGUCACUCGACCUCACCUAGUGCUCUGCAAAGAGCUGUGUUGGUCGAGUGUUUUACUGUUUCUGUUUGAUUUUCUGUUUUCUGCAUGUUCACUUAGGACUGCUAGAACACACCAAAACCUGUUAUUGCUUGGCUUGACUUAGUGAUUUCUGAUCCCAUCUUGAUUGUUAGCAUCACACCCAUUUGGAUUGACAACCUAAAAUACUACAACGACAUGAUUGGUGUUUUAGGAUAAUGGACUAAAAACCUAUUAUCAAUUUGGCGCCGUUGCAAUUGGGUGUUUGUUUAUUACAUUUGAGAUUUCAGACUUGCUUAGAUCAAGUUCUUUUUCAAUUUUCUUUUCGGUUACUAACUGUGUGUUUUUCUUAUUGUCUUCUUGAUCCAGGUACACCUCUGCUGUAUGCGAACUCGAUCAACAGGCAAUCAGAACCUCCUUUUCAACGACAACAUCGACCGCAUAGCUCGCGAACUCAGAGAAAGGAGAAAUACAGUCAACCUUGUACCUCAACAACCACUCGCAAUGGCUGAAGAACAGAAUCAACAAAAUGGCCCUGCCAACAUUGGUGCUAGAGAUGCACCACGUGAUCACCGUCAAAGGAAAGAAAUUGCACCUCCGGCUAUCCAGAACAACAACUUCGAGAUUAAGAGUGGUCUCAUCUCGAUGAUUCAGGGGAACAAAUUCCAUGGUCUGCCAAUGGAGGAUCCACUCGACCACCUUGAUGAAUUCGAUAGGCUCUGCAACCUGACAAAGAUCAAUGGUGUCAAUGAAGACGGAUUCAAGCUCCGUUUGUUUUCAUUCUCCUUGGGCGACAAAGCACACAUCUGGGAGAAAAAUCUGCCCCAUAACUCAAUCACCACCUGGGAUGAUUGUAAGAAGGUUUUUCUAUCAAAGUUCUUCUCCAAUGCCAGAUCUGCAAGACUCAGAAAUGAGAUUUCUGGUUUCUCACAAAAUACUGGUGAAAGCCUCUCUGCUCAGCACUCUCUACAGAGGAGUCCUACCACGCAUCAGAAUGCUUCUGGAUACCGCCAGCAAUGGAAAUUUCCAGAACAAAGAUGUUGAAGAAGGCUGGGAAUUGGUUGAGAACCUUGCCCAAUCAGAUGGUAAUUACAACGAGGACUGCGAUAGGACCGUCAGAGGCACAGCUGACUCUGAUGACAAACACAGGAAGGAGAUCAAAGCGCUGAAUGACAAGCUGGACAGGAUUCUUCUUAGCCAGCAGAAGCAUGUGCACUUCCUUGUUGAUGACGAGCAGUUUCAAGUCCAAGAUGGGGAGGGUAACCAGUUGGAAGAAGUCAGCUACAUCAACAACAACCAGGGUGGCUACAAAGGAUACAUCAACUUCAAAACCAACAACCCCAAUCUCUCCUACCGAAGCACCAACGUUGCUAAUCCUCAGGAUCAGGUGUAUCUUCCACAGCAACAACAAGGUCAAAACAAACCUUUUGUUCCCUACAACCAAGGUUUCGUUCCUAAGCAGCAAUUCCAGGGGAACUACCAGCCGCCACCACCACCUGGGUUUGCAACUCAGCAAAACCAAGGUCCUGCUGCUCCUGAUGGUGAAAUGAAACAAAUGCUACAAUAG
rnacentral:sRNA from 1 species